rnacentral:rRNA from 1 species
GACGAACGCUGGCGGCGUGCUUAAUACAUGCAAGUAGAACGCUGAAGCGAGGUGCUUGCUCUACUCGGAUGAGUAGCGAAUGGGUGAGUAAUGAGUAGGUUACCCGUCUUGUAGCGGGGGCUAACUAUAGGAAACGAUAGUUAAUACUGCAUAACACUGGAUGACACAUGUCAUUUAUUUGUAAGGGGCAAUUGCUACACUAUAACAUCGACUUGCGUUGUAUUAGCUAGUAGGUGGGGUCAUGGCUUACCUAGGCGACGAUACAUAGACGACGGGAGAGGCGGGUCGGCCGCACUGGGACUGAGACACGGCCCAGACGCCUGCGAGAGGCAGCAGAAUGGAAUCGUCGGCAAUGGGGGCGACCCUGGCCGAGCAAGUCCGCGUGAGUGAAGAAGGUGUUCGGAUCGUGAAGCUCGGUUGUAGGUCGAGAACGGGUUUGGGUGUGGAAAGAUCACACUGUGACGGUAGCGGGCCAAGAAGGAACGGCUAACUACGUG